rnacentral:lncRNA from 1 species
UUUGGACGAGCUGCCCAGAGCCAAUGCAGCGCUCCUGCGCUAUCUUUUUGGAGUGCUGCACAACAUUCAGCAGCAUUCGUCCGUCAAUCAGAUGACAGCUUACAACUUAGCCACCUGCAUAGCCCCAAGCAUUCUUUGUUUGCCCAAUGCCUGCAGGCAGAAUUAGAAAGUGACAUCACAAGAAAGAUUUCUCUUGUGCAAUUUUUGAUUGAGAAUUGCCUCCAGAUCUUUGGAGAAGACAUUGCUUCCCUCCUGGGGGAGAGCUCCAUGCAUUGUGAUGGCAGCGAGAAGCCUGAAGAUCCUUCAACUGACUUCGGAGAAGACAUUGCUUCCCUCCUGGGGGAGAGCUCCAUGCAUUGUGAUGGCAGCGAGAAGGCUGCAGAUCCUUCGACUGACUUCGGAGAAGACAUUGCUUCCCUCCUGGGGGAGAGCUCCAUGCAUUGUGAUGGCAGCGAGAAGCCUGCAGAUCCUUCGACUGACUUCGGAGUGUCAACCAAGCAACCUUUCGAAUCCAAGCCCAGUGAGAGUGAUAGUGACUUACAAAAAGGCACAACUGCAGAAUGACGCCGAGGCCCCACGUGGCGUGGGUCCACCCAGCUCCCUGUCUGCAAUGCUUUCAGUCACUGAAGAUUAGAGUCUCCAUAAUCAUACUCGACCCUUUCCUUUCCUUUCCUUCCUGUAAUAUCCCACCAAGAACGCUUUCUCCAAAAUUCUACUACCUCCGUUAUGUUCUCAUCACGUAGACACCAGUCAGCUAAUGCCCCCGAAAUCAUUUUCAGCCCCUUGUAACAAAAAAGUGUGUGGGGGUGGUGAAUUUCUAGAAAAAUACAGGGUCAGAAAAGGAAAGUUUUCGUAGCUCCUGGGAAUCACCUCAGGACUCAAGAACAGUAAUUCCUGAGCUUGAAGAUUCCAGUCCUCAGUCACCACAGGGUCAGUAGAUUAGAUGGAAGGAUCCUCUCAGACAUCUCAGGAAAUAAGCUCCCAACGUGUCAGAGACCAAUUUUCAAAAAGUUAAACACAUGAAUCUCACACAAUAGAGUCUAAACUUGAGUCCAAAUGUUAUUCAACUCAUCUUACUGAGGAGACCAGUAAGGUGGUAAAGAAUGUUUUUGAGUAUAGUACUUUUAUGGCACCAAGCUGGGGCCAAAGAAGCAAAUUUUCUUUGUUGGACAUAAACAGUUAAUGUUUUAAAGGGUAAUCAAUCUAUAAGCUUUGAAUUUAUCUUCUCCUGUGACAAAAAUCUACAAAUUAACAUUAUUCUAUUUUUAUGAAAUACAGUGAAGGACAUCCAGAUUUGGACUCCUCCAUCUUACACUUCCCAUGCAAGCUUUCCUGGAGGGGAAUCUGUCCUCCCUCUGUCAACUCUCUCACCCACCCUUCACUUCUCACCCUGCUGACAUGUGGCCUCUCCCUGUCUUCCUUUCCAGCAGCCUCAGUAGAUCACAUUCAACCGAUCACCAAGCCCCUUCACCUGACAAACCAAAGCACAUCUUCUGGGAUUCCUAAGGCACUUGCCCUGCCAGGGUCUCGUAAUUCCUGAAUUCUAAUCUCGUUUCACUGGUAGUUCACUUCUCCCAGGUCAUGUGAUUUAUCUCCAUCUUCCUCUGUUUAUAUGGUUUCAUGGACUUUUCUACAUCUUCGCCUAAACCCGAGGACUCUUCACGUCAUUCCCAGGUGCCCUCAGCUCUAGUGUUGCCUCUGAUUCCCUGCUCUCCUAUCAUCCCACCAACGCUCAUCCCAUCACAGACCCAUGAGUGCAGCAGUGUCUUCUCUGGCCUCCCUGUCUCCAGUGGUGAAGUUGGGGAAGGAUGGCCCCAUGUAUGCCUCCCACCCUAAUGUUCCUACUUCAGGGUAAGCUCCCUGAGCAGGGAUGAGGCUGUCUAGCACAGCCUGGCAUUCCACUGCCAACCACCAGACUCAACACCAGAUUGGAAAACAGCUCCAGAGGAAGGAUAUCGUUUGUUUGAGGUCACCCGGUUUGCGAAGAUGAAGUCAGAAUUUAGAGCCCAUGUUGUUCACCGAUGAGUUACGUCACUAACCACGUUCCAAAGUGAUGCUAGAUGGAAAGAAUGCUGGUGCUUCAGAGUCCUGGGGCAACCUUGAGAAGCUGCAGAGGAGUGGAUGACCACGAGCUGGGGCUUGUUUUAGAUGCUCCUUCUCUUCAAAUUUCGUGCUCAUCAAAGUACAUAUUUUUCUGCACUGUAUCAAAGAAUCCUUUGUUUAAUAGAAGACACAGAAUAAUUCAGUAUGGACCUUUGUCUGAGAGGCAUCAGAAGAGAUCACAUCCAUGUGCUUAGAGAACGUCACGUGUGCUCUGCGUCCUCCACGUAGGCAGGGCGGGAUGGCUGAAGUGGGCUGGAGUCCCCACAGGUAGGUGUGUCCCUG